rnacentral:misc_RNA from 1 species
GUGGGAGCGGGCUUGCUCGCGAAUGCGGUGUGUCAGUCAACUUUUCAUCGACUGAUACACCGCAUUCGCGAGCAAGCCCGCUCCCAC